CCUACGGGGCGCAGCAGUGAGGAAUAUUGGUCAAUGGACGAGAGUCUGAACCAGCCAAGUAGCGUGAAGGAUGACUGCCCUAUGGGUUGUAAACUUCUUUUAUAUGGGAAUAAAACGUUCCACGUGUGGGAUUUUGUAUGUACCAUAUGAAUAAGGAUCGGCUAACUCCGUGCCAGCAGCCGCGGUAAUACGGAGGAUCCGAGCGUUAUCCGGAUUUAUUGGGUUUAAAGGGAGCGUAGGUGGAUUGUUAAGUCAGUUGUGAAAGUUUGCGGCUCAACCGUAAAAUUGCAGUUGAAACUGGCAGUCUUGAGUACAGUAGAGGUGGGCGGAAUUCGUGGUGUAGCGGUGAAAUGCUUAGAUAUCACGAAGAACUCCGAUUGCGAAGGCAGUUCACUGGACUGCAACUGACACUGAGGCUCGAAAGUGUGGGUAUCAAACAGGAGUAGAUACCCUUGUAGUC
rnacentral:rRNA from 1 species